rnacentral:rRNA from 1 species
CAGUAGCCGCGGGAAUACGUAGGUGGCAAGCGUUGUCCGGAAUUAUUGGGCGUAAAGCGCGCGCAGGUGGUUUAAUAAGUCUGAUGUGAAAGCCCACGGCUCAACCGUGGAGGGUCAUUGGAAACUGUUAAACUUGAGUGCAGGAGAGAAAAGUGGAAUUCCUAGUGUAGCGGUGAAAUGCGUAGAGAUUAGGAGGAACACCAGUGGCGAAGACGGCUUUUUGGCCUGUAACUGACACUGAGGCGCGAAAGCGUGGGGAGCAAACAGGAUUAGAUACCCGUGUAGUCCCUGUCUCUUAUAC